rnacentral:rRNA from 1 species
AUUGCUAGUAAUCGCGGAUCAGCAUGCCGCGGUGAAUACGUUCCCGGGCCUUGUACACACCGCCCGUCACACCAUGAGAGCCGGGGGGACCCGAAGUCGAUAGUCUAACCGUAAGGAGGACGUCGCCGAAGGUAAAACUGGUGAUUGGGGUGAAGUCGUAACAAGGUAGCCGUAUCGGAAGGUGCGGCUGGAUCACCUCCUUU